GUAUCAUGUGUCCUGGCUGUUUACAUAUCCUAACCAAUCAUGGCAUCUGAGGAUGACAUACGCACGGCCAUGUAGCAGCACUACGACAUAUUAAUGUUGAAGGGAUCUCGAACCAAGUUUUCGAAAUCGAGGAUAGAUUGAGGCAACUCAAAGGCCAAAGCUCUGGUAUUCUUGAGUUCUGCUGCGGCAAUAGAUUGAAUAGUUGAGGAACGGCCUGAUACAAAUACACAUGACACC
rnacentral:lncRNA from 1 species